CGUUUUGCUAAUCAGGUUUAUGUGUGUGCAAAAAAACAAAAAAGACGACUAAAGAGUAAUGCCAUUGUUUUUAGAAUUUUGUAGACCCCUUAAGAUGCCAAAAGAUUUGACAUUUUAAAGAUUUCAACGUCUGGGAAAACUUUCACAAGCCACCGAAACUUACACUGGAGAGUGUAAUUGGAUUUGAGAUUUAAAGACAGAUUCGAGAGGAAAAUGCGAGUGUAUGUGGGCAAAAUUACUAAUUGUUGAUGAGGCUUGAGGCGAAGCAGCAAGCGAAUGGAGUCAGUAAGCAAAUCAAAUCAAAAUGCCUGCAAUAAUAUCUCAAUCAGCUCCACGUAUCGUAAACUGAAAUUCGUGUAAUUCGGUAGAAGCCGCCAAAAAAGAAGUUGUACAUAAGAUCGGUCAAAAAAAAAAGGGGAAAU